rnacentral:rRNA from 1 species
AGUAACGAAUAUUCCGCAAUGCGCGAAAGCGUGACGGAGCAAUGCCGCGUGUGGGAUGAAUCCCUUCGGGGUGUAAACCACUGUCAGGGUUUAGAAACAUAAUGAUCAGACCCAAAGGAAGGGCCGGCUAACUCUGUGCCAGCAGCCGCGGUAAUACAGAGGGCCCAAGCGUUAAUCGGAAUCACUGGGCUUAAAGCGUGCGUAGGCGGACCCGCAAGUAUUUUGUGAAAUCCCACGGCUCAACCGUGGAACUGCUUGAUAGACUGCGGGUCUUGAGAUCGGUAGGGGCUGCCGGAACUCUAGGUGGAGCGGUGAAAUGCGUAGAUAUCUAGAGGAACGCCCAAGGCGAAGGCAGGCAGCUGGGCCGAAUCUGACGCUGAGGCACGAAAGCGUGGGUAGCGAACGGGAUUAGAUACCCCGGUAGUCCACGCCCUAAACGAUGUGCACUAGAUCGUGGAGGUUCUGACACCGUCACGGUCGAAGCAAAAGUGAUAAGUGCACCGCCUGGGG